AGAGCAGGGAUAGUGUGUAUCGGUGUUUGCUCUGUUCAAUGCACUCUUCCGAAAGUUUUCCCUGCGACAUCGUUUUGAGAAAGUGGGCAGUUGUGUUUCAUCCUUUAUUGAAAAUCACAACAAUCAUUUUCCCUACAUCU
rfam:Vigna radiata var. radiata cultivar VC1973A chromosome 5, whole genome shotgun sequence